UCUAUUCAAUAUCUCCUUGCUUAUUUAUAUGUAUUAGGACUGUGUUACCAACCUUUGCAGUAUUAAUUGUGAAUGGGAACCAUGGGGAUACUGGUCUAAAUGCUCUAUGUCAUGCGGCAGAGGAAUCAGAAAGAGAACCAGAAAGAUAGCUGCUGAAGCUGAGUACGGAGGAAGAAAGUGCGGAAAUGACUCGGAAGAAGUAGAAGAGUGUAUUGAUGAAGUUUGCCCAGUAGAUGGUGUUUGGAGUACAUGGACAAGAUGGGGAUACUGUUCCAAAACCUGCGGUGUUGGAUCCAGGUCUAGGUGAGCUAAACA